rnacentral:lncRNA from 1 species
AAAAAAAAAAAAAAAAAAAAAGAAAAAAAUCCUUCCUGAUCUCAUGCAAAUAUCCCUUAUGGCCAGUCCUAAUUCAGAACCAUCCAGGAAAGGAAAUUCUGGAAAACAGGUCUAGCUUAGCAAGUUGUUAUGAUACAAAGCCACCACACUUAUAAAUAGGAGGGAAGGCAACUAACAUUAAUUGAGAGCCUUUACAUAUGCCAUCUUAUUUGAUCUAUGCUCUGAUCUUACAAACACAGGGUUAUUAUCUCCACCUACUGGCUUGCUCCAAUUCACACCAUUAGGGAGCACACAUGUUGGAAUCCAG